GCUGCAAGAACAUUGUGUCACACCCUUCAGCAGAGAUGAUGCUGAAGAUCAGGAAAUCACAGCGAGCAGCACAGUUCCUGCAGCUUCAGCAAACAUCGUUGAAAGCUCUGGGCCGGCUCAUGGUGGUCCUGCUUGAGACAGUGACCCCCCAUGGAUUCUUCCAGAACAUAGUCCCUGUCCUGCAGAGAUCAGUGACCUCAAACAACGUGUGGGAGCGAAGGAGGGCCCUGCAGACCUGCUCCCAGAUGCUGGCUACAUGUGAAGAGCUUCAAGUGAGUAAA